UUAAAGGUUAGGAGGAAAAAUAAGGAGAAGGAAAAAUUUAUCCCCUCCGAUUUUAGAAGGUACUUUUUUUUGAGGUUGUUUAAUUCUGGCUUAAAGUUUCUUAUAAGAAAAUCUAUUUAUAUAGGAAAGAUGGAAUUUAGAAAAUUAGAUAGUAAAAUUGGAAAGUUAUUAGAAGCUCCAGUUAUUUUUUUUUGAAAAUUUUAGCAAAUACGGUGCCAGCGGCUGCGGUUAUACCGUAAAAGUGAAGAAACUUAAUUUUUAAUUUGGAAAAUUUACAAGGAAAGAUAUGUUUUUUUUGGAGGUAAAAUUCUGAAAAAAUUACUUUUCCAUUAAUGAAGUUUCAGAAACUUUAGAAUAAAACUAGGAUUAGAUACCCUAUUAUUAUUAAGUGUAAAAAAAUUAGGUAGUAGUAGAUGACUUGAAACUUAAAGAAUUUGGCGGUAUUUUAAUCUAAUCAGAGGAACUUGCGUUUUAACUCGAAAUUACACGUUUUAUCUUACUUAAAUUAAAGUUUGUAUAUCGUCGUAAAAAUAAAACUUUAAAGUAUAUAUUUAAUUUUAUUAAAUAAAAAAUUACAGAUCAAGGUUCAGCUAUAUUUAAGGAAAACGUGAGUUACAGUAUUUAGAAAGUAGAUGAAUAAAUUCUUGAAAGGGGUUUUGAAAGUGGAUUUGGAAGUAGGUUGAAAUUAAAUAGUUUAAUUGAAUUAGCAAUAAAAUAUGCACAUAUCGCCCGUCACUCUCUUUUUAUAAGAGAAAAGUCGUAACAUAGUGGAGGUAUUGGAAAAUGUCUCUAGAAG
rnacentral:rRNA from 1 species